rnacentral:rRNA from 1 species
UACAGAGACUGCAAGCGUUAUUCGGAUUCACUGGGCGUAAAGGGUGCGCAGGCGGCCAAGUGUGUGAGGCGUGAAAGCCCGGGGCUUAACCCCGGAAUUGCACCUCAAACUACAUGGCUAGAGCAUUGGAGAGGGUAGCAGAAUUCAUGGUGUAGCAGUGAAAUGCGUAGAUAUCAUGAGGAAUACCAGAGGCGAAGGCGGCUACCUGGACAAUUGCUGGCGCUCAGGCACGAAAGCGUGGGGAGCAAAAGGG